rnacentral:rRNA from 1 species
UACGUAGGGGGCAAGCGUUGUCCGGAAUUAUUGGGCGUAAAGAGCGUGUAGGCGGUCCGGCAAGUCCGCUGUGAAAGUCGGGGGCUCAACCCUCGAAUGCCGGUGGAUACUGUCGGGCUAGAGUGCGGAAGAGGCGAGUGGAAUUCCUGGUGUAGCGGUGAAAUGCGCAGAUAUCAGGAGGAACACCUAUUGCGAAGGCAGCUCGUUGGGACGUAACUGACGUUGAGACGCGAAAGCGUGGGGAGCAAACAGG